rnacentral:rRNA from 1 species
CUACACUGCCAUGGCACCCUGAACAAGCCAGAAUGUCUGAUCUCGGAAGCUAAGCAGGGUCGGGCCUAGUUAGUACUUGGAUGGGAGACCACCUAGGAAUAGCAGGUGCUAUAGG